rnacentral:rRNA from 1 species
ACCCUAAGAAUUUUUUAAUUUAAAUAAUAUAUUUAUGUAUUAAUUAAAUUUUAGCUGGGGCGGCUAAGAAAUAUUAAAAACUUUUUAAUUUAAAGCGACCCAUUAUUAAUGAUUAUAUGAAAAAAUA